CUGAAAAGACACAAAAAGAAGGAUCACAGUCCAUUCCUCCAGUUGUUAGCUUUCUGGAGAUCAGAAGUCCUAAAAUGAAGGUAUCAGCAAGGCUAUCUUCCUUCCAAAGAUUCUUAGGGGGAAUCAGUUUCCUGGCCUUUUUCAGCUUUUCCAGGUGGUGGGUAGAAAGAAGAAAACCACAGAGAUAAAUUGCCAUUUUCAUCAAAUCAUAUGAAGGGUAUAUUUUAUCGAUAUAACUUACCACUGUUGGUGUUAACUAUAAUCAUCUGACUGAGAUAGUGUUUAUCAGUUUUCUCUGUAGUAAAAUUACUCUUCCCUUUCCCUUUCCAAAAGUACUCUUAAGAAAAAAAUACUAUGUAUAGCUCAAAUCCUUGGGGUAGUAUCUACACAAAUUAUUCUGAAUUGU